CCUACGGGAGGCUGCAGUGGGGGAUAUUGCACAAUGGGGGAAACCCUGAUGCAGCAACGCCGCGUGGGUGAAGAAGCGCCUCGGCUCGUAAAGCCCUGUCAGCAGGGAAGAAAAUGACGGUACCUGAAGAAGAAGCCCCGGCUAACUACGUGCCAGCAGCCGCGGUAAUACGUAGGGGGCAAGCGUUAUCCGGAUUUACUGGGUGUAAAGGGGGCGCAGACGGCGAUGCAAGCCAGGAGUGAAAGCCAGGGGCCUAACCCCUGGACUGCUCUUGGAACUGCGUGGCUAGAGUGCAGGAGGGGCAGGCGGAAUUCCUGGUGUAGCGGUGAAAUGCGUAGAGAUCAGGAGGAACCCCGAUUGCGAAGGCAGCUUACUAAACUGUGACUGACAUUGAUGCUCGAAAGUGUGGGUAUCAAACAGGAUUAGAUACCCCAGUAGUC
rnacentral:rRNA from 1 species